GCUCCUUUAACUCAGUGGUAAGAGUAGCGGCCUUAUAUGCCGUUGGUCGGUGGUUCGAAUCCAUCAAGGAGUAUCA
rnacentral:tRNA from 2 species